AUUUUUCCACCAAAGGGAGAUAAUUUGGAACUUUUUCAAUGAUGUUUACAUUUUAAAAGUCAUUUGGGGCCAACACGAAUUAAUUGUUUUGAAUGUUUUUUGUAUCAUAUGAUAAAGUAACAACUACAAAAGGUAAUAAAUAAAAUUUGUAAUGAAAAACAAAUGUUUAAUUUUUUUCUGAAAUUUUUAUACCCUCGAGCCUCCUUAAGCAGU
rnacentral:lncRNA from 1 species